GAUGAACGCUGGCGGCGUGCCUAAUACAUGCCAGUCGAGCGAACAGACGAGGAGCUUGCUCCUCUGACGUUAGCGGCGGACGGGUGAGUAACACGUGGAUAACCUACCUAUAAGACUGGGAUAACUUCGGGAAACCGGAGCUAAUACCGGAUAAUAUAUUGAACCGCAUGGUUCAAUAGUGAAAGACGGUUUUGCUGUCACUUAUAGAUGGAUCCGCGCCGCAUUAGCUAGUUGGUAAGGUAACGGCUUACCAAGGCAACGAUGCGUAGCCGACCUGAGAGGGUGAUCGGCCACACUGGAACUGAGACACGGUCCAGACUCCUACGGGAGGCAGCAGUAGGGAAUCUUCCGCAAUGGGCGAAAGCUUGACGGAGCAACGCCGCGUGAGUGAUGAAGGUCUUCGGAUCGUAAAACUCUGUUAUUAGGGAAGAACAAAUGUGUAAGUAACUAUGCACGUCUGGACGGUACCUAAUCAGAAAGCCACGGCUAACUACGG
rnacentral:rRNA from 1 species